GUGAGGCGUUGAGACAAUGUAGAAUGCUGCAGAACCCGUAAUCGGAUCGAUGUCACUCAGCAAUAUCCUCUGCAGCGUGGAAUUGGAUUGCAAAAAGGUCUUCCAGGGCUGGCGGCGGAUGUUUUGAAAAAGGACCGUUUGCGAAUGUGCAUAUUCAGAUUGUUAGCGCUGAAAAACUAUACUGUUACAGCGUAAACAGAACUCGUACUGACUCGCGUGGUUGACGGUAGUGAUGUUUUUUUUUCGUGUCAGGGAGAUUGCGAGCUCUGCACUUUUCUCAUCAGUUAGGUUUCACUGUUCAAGGAGUACCUUAGCGUUCUAACUCGGUGGGCUGUAACGAUGACCAGGUCACGACAGGGCAGUAUUAAGUGGUCCAAACAUUAAUACUCAGUACUCACAUGUGCUUCGUAGACUGAAUCAUCUUUUCAAGAUAUGACUGUUGUGUUGAGUAAAGUGGGAAUGCGCACACAGUUAUGUAUCGCUCCGUAAUGUAGAAUGCGGCAGGAUGUAACGUUUCCCAAUCGUUACUCUUACACACGCAGGUAUUGCUUUGGAUAGUAUUCUGUAUGCUGGUUUUGUAUUUAAUGAAUACAUAUAUCUAUUUGUAAUA